rnacentral:rRNA from 1 species
UACGAAGGGGGCUAGCGUUGUUCGGAAUCACUGGGCGUAAAGGGCGCGUAGGCGGCCUUGUAAGUCGGGGGUGAAAGCCUGUGGCUCAACCACAGAAUUGCCUUCGAUACUGCAGGGCUUGAGACCGGAAGAGGUUAGUGGAACUGCGAGUGUAGAGGUGAAAUUCGUAGAUAUUGGGAAGAACACCAGUGGCGAAGGCGGCUAACUGGUCCAGAUCUGACGCUGAGGUGCGAAAGCGUGGGGAGCAAACAGG